rnacentral:rRNA from 1 species
AUGCAAGUCGAACGGUAACAGGUCUUCGGAUGCUGACGAGUGGCGAACGGGUGAGUAAUGCAUCGGAACGUGCCCAGUCGUGGGGGAUAACGCAGCGAAAGCUGUGCUAAUACCGCAUACGAUCUGCGGAUGAAAGCGGGGGACCUUCGGGCCUCGCGCGAUUGGAGCGGCCGAUGUCAGAUUAGGUAGUUGGUGGGGUAAAGGCUCACCAAGCCAACGAUCUGUAGCUGGUCUGAGAGGACGACCAGCCACACUGGGACUGAGACACGGCCCAGACUCCUACGGGAGGCAGCAGUGGGGAAUUUUGGACAAUGGGCGCAAGCCUGAUCCAGCAAUGCCGCGUGCAGGAAGAAGGCCUUCGGGUUGUAAACUGCUUUUGUACGGAACGAAAAGCUCUGGGUUAAUACCCUGGGGUCAUGACGGUACCGUAAGUAAUAAGCACCGGCGUA